CAGUAGCCGCGGUAAUACGAAGGGUGCAAGCGUUACUCGGAAUUACUGGGCGUAAAGCGUGCGUAGGCGGCUUUUUAAGUCGGAUGUGAAAUCCCUGAGCUUAACUUAGGAAUUGCAUUCGAUACUGGGAAGCUAGAGUAUGGGAGAGGAUGGUAGAAUUCCAGGUGUAGCGGUGAAAUGCGUAGAGAUCUGGAGGAAUACCGAUGGCGAAGGCAGCCAUCUGGCCUAAUACUGACGCUGAGGUACGAAAGCAUGGGGAGCAAACAGGAUUAGAUACCCCUGUAGUCCCUGUCUCUUAUAC
rnacentral:rRNA from 1 species